CCACAGAGUCAUGUGUGGAAGAGUGCAAAAGGUCUGUUUGUGUGCUAGAGAUUCGAAGAGUCCAGUGGAAAGUGUGAAGUCCAUUGUACUGUGCAUGAGUCUGUUAUCAGAAGGCAAAAGGAUCUUUAAUAGAAGGCUGAAGAGUCCGUGCUGGAAACCAGGAGACAACGUCCAAGAUGAAGGUGAACACUGGAGCCCCUCUGAAGAAACAAAAAAAGUGAGAGUUUCUCAUGCACAGAAUGUGCAUUAGUGGUGAUGGAAUUUCUUCUAGGAGACAGAGAAACCCACAGUAAUGGAUUAAAAGAACCUGACCAAAAAGAUAUGCAGCUAGAAGUAGCAGAUGACCCUUGUUAUGGCUUGGUUAUGUCCUCCAAGAUUGUUAUUGGAAGCAGCAGUUCCUGUAAGUUUGCCAGGCUGUCUUUGUGGGCUGAUUAAGAUCAGGAGACCCUGCUUUCUCUUCCUGUCUGUCUUACACUAUAAAUAAAGAGCGUGCUGGAUUCCAGGCAGUCAUUAGCUCAUCAGGCUGCGGUUCCACCUGGUCCCAGCUUUCAAGCAUCAAUUUUGAGUGCAAUUUUGAAGAAAAGAGGGAAGAUGGGAGAAGUGAAUAGUCAGCUAUAUUCAUGGUGUUGAAGAAAGAAUUUGGUUUGCUGGGAUACAGCCUGUGAUAACAGAACAAGGCCUGGAAAGAAACAGGUUAAGAUCUGGCCAUGGAGUUCAAGCUGGCCUUGGACUGACUGUAUAAUCAUAGGCUGGCCUCCAACUCACAGCAAUCCUCCUGUCUCAGCCUCUCAAGCACUGGAUUACAGGAAUGUGCCACCAUGCUCAGCGAAUUUUCUGUUUUUAUCCAAGUUUUCAGUUUGAUUUAUUUUAUCUACCUCCUCAACAUUGCUUUCUAACUCUUUUUUCUCUUAUAUUAAGCUCUUUUCUUUCCCUCAUUGGUUCUUUUUUUCUUUUUUAAAUUAGCAUCACUGAUGUUUCCUGUAGAUUCAUUUUUUUUAAGUCUUUUAUUUGUUUUUCAUUCAGUUUGUUUUCUAUUCCUUGCAUGUUUUCUGUUUUUCCCAAAUUGUUGUUUUUAUUUUCUUCUCUUAUAUAACUUUUUUACAAUGUUUAAUGAGCUUUCAUUAUAUGCUUAGAUUUUAAAUGUAGGCCACUAAAAAAGCAUGCACAUGUUUGUACAACUUGGUAUGAAUAAAUAUGUUACUGUGGA
rnacentral:lncRNA from 1 species